CCUGGCUUCUCCUUACGUGGUUGCUUAUCUCGACCCAUGAAUCCUGGCCGCAGGCAGGAGGUCCUCUGCCCCCAGUUCCCAUUCUUGGUCUCAGGGUCCUUGACCCAAGGUGGCUCCAGACUGGAGGAGGGUGGGGCGAGGUGAAACAUGGCUGGCUAGACGGAAGGCCUGGAGGUAUCCUCAAGCUGCUGCUGGCACAGCAAGUGACCUGUGCUUCUCUUAUACUUGGGGUGGCUUGAAGGAGGGGCUCGUGGAGAUUAUGGGAGGAUCAAUCUCCCUCCCAAACCCAGGCUGGUACUGCCUCUAAUCAGGAAAUCUCAACUCUUAGAGACCCCUGGCCUGUGGGUGCACACAGUGCCCUUGGCCCUGAGGUCUGACCCCAAACUGCUCACACAGCUGCUGCCUUGUUGGGGACCCAAGUCUUCCCUAGGGUCCGAGCCAGGGUCUGGGGCUGGUUCAGCUUCAUGGCGCCACCAGGGCCACAGGGGCAGUGGCACGGUCAACCUCUGAGGACAGGUCAAUGAACAGAUGGCUUUUCCGGGCCUGGUAUGACAGAGUCUUACUGGUUCGUUGUUUUGUUUUGUUUUGUUUUGUUUUGAAAUGGAGUCUCGCUCUGUCACCCAGGCUGGAGUGCUGUGGCACGAUCUCAGCUCACUGCAACCUCCUCCUCCCAGGUUCAGGCAAUUCUCCUGCCUCAGCCUCCUGAGUAGCUGGGACUACAGGUGUGUGCCAUCACAUCCGGCUACUUUUUUGUAUUUUUAGUAGAGACGGGGUUUCACUGUGUUAGCCAGGAUGGUCUCGAUCUCCUGACCUCGUGAUCUGCCCGCCUCGGCCUCUCAAAGGGCUGGGAUUACAGGCGUGAGCCACCGCGCCCGGCCUUGUUCAUUUUUAAAAGUCGAAAACUUCAGCAGAAGAAGAGCAAGGAGGUGAAUUUCUAAUCGAUUUAUUUUGCUGAAAUUCUGAGAGAAACACUGUGGUGUGGGGACAGGGAGGAGCUCUUGCACACACACAGGUGGAUCUGCCCACUUUCCACCAGCGGUUUCAUUACUGCGAGUUCAGGCAGAGUCCCGGUGCCGAGCAAAGCGUGGGGCCCCUCCGGGAAGCCCGCAGGUCACUCAGAUCGCAGCGGGCUCCGGCCUGGCCAGGAUUCUGGGGGAGCCGCCCGGAGCGCGGUGAAUCGGGGCGGGGAGAGGGGCGGGGAAGGCGCGCGAAAGCCCCAGCAGAGACCGGCAGCGGCGGGCGGCCCGCGUGGGCUACUGCUGGGGGCUGCGUUCGGGCGAGGAGGGGAGAUUCUGUCUCAGAGGCCUCGGGCUGCACGUUCUUCCGGGCCGCGCAUUUGCAGCCCACAGCAGGCCCCAGCCGGCCCCUCUGGAGUUGGGCCACUGCUUCUGCAGGCCCAGCAGGCCCCUGGGGGCGGCCGGAGGCCACUAACUGGCUUCUCCAGCUCAGCAUUCUUCUCUCAUUUGCUGGGUACCCCACUCUCUUCUCUACCCCUUUGAACCAUCUUUACCCUCAUUCCUCAGGGAACGUUUAACGAGUUGAAUGUUUACCAUGUAGUCACUCUAUAUGGAAAUCAUAAUUCAAUUUUGUAAACAUCAGACUUUGACAAAACAAAUGAUGAUGUUCUUAAGGAAAGCAGAGAGACACAGUGUGAAAUCGCUGCUCUCAGAUCAGCACACGGGAGAGGCCAGCAGUCAGGAGGGGGCUCACCGAGUUUGUCUGCACUCGCUCCCUCCGCAGCCGCCCUCUCCAGCUGGAAGAAGUCGUAAUCGAACCUGCUCAGGUCCUCACUGCCCCACUCCGAAGGAAACCCCACGUACAGGUGAGGUCAGAGGAGUGAAGUGACUUGCCCAAGACCACACAGUGAGUCAGGAGCAGGCCUGUCCCUCCAGCAGUGGUGCCAUGUUGUCCCCAAGCCAUGGUGGCAGAGGAGCUGGUGUGAACGCCCCAUCCUGCCACGUCUGUGAUGUGGGCACCUCACAUGACUGUCCCCUCCCAGCUCUUGGGGGGGACCUAGGACAUUCUGUGAGCCUGCAGGAAAGUUUACCAAAUGCUGCAGCUUUGUCCUGGUGGUGAUGGGCACCCCGUUAACGGCAACCUUGCAUUUGCUAUGUGGAGUGACCGUCACUUUACCGUCGGCAUUUGUGAAGGAAGCGUGUUUAUCUGAAAUUCUAAGAAGAUGAGAGUCAAAGACACCCAGCAAACGGCGGUUUCCGUGAGCAGGGUUGGAGCCCAGGAAGCAAACCAGCACUGCACCCUAGAUUUCAGCCAGAGGACGAAAGCCCUGCCCUCAGCUUUCUCAGACCAGCCCUGGAGUAGGUGGCCCGGGGAGACCUGGGCAGUGUCCCUGCUUGUCCUGCAGACUGUGUGGCUCUGCAGACCUCUAGAUGGAGGAGGCACAAUUCUCUAAUGCUGGACGAGGACACUGAUCAUGGAAACUCACCCCAAACCUUGAAUCGUGAUAGCAUUUGAGGCAGCCUGACCGGUGCCACAUGAACCUGAAAGGAAUCAAGAUAUAAUUUAUUUUGAAAAUAAAUCAGACACUUUCAGAAUUUGAGCGUAAGAAGUUAACAUGUCUGAUGCGUUGGAAGUGACGUUUUCUCUACAGUGGGAUGGUACUGAAGGGAUUUUUCCAGUUGGGAUUUUCAAUCAUAAUGGUACUUAGACAUACUUUUCUUUCUGCCUUGUGUGUGGGGGGAAGAGCGGGGAUGUUCCUAACUUUUAAAAAGUUCCACCUUCUUCAUGAGCAUUCUGGAGGAAGACACCAUUAGGUCUGGGCCUUAGGAGACCCACUGAAUACUGGCCACAGCAGAGGUUCUGGUGUUUGAAGCUCCGUUUCUGUGUAGUGACUGACCCCAAGGAGUGCAGACAUGUCACCCCCCACAUCCCCACAUCCCACGGCCAUCUCGCACGGAGCCCUCGCGGCCGCCCUGGGGGGUGCACGGAGCCCUCGCGGCGGCCCUGGGGGGUGCACGGAGCCCUUGCGGCCGUCCUUGGGGUGCUCGGAGCCCUCGCGGCCGUCCUGGGGGUGCACGGAGCCCUCGCGGCCGUCCUGGGGGUGCACAGCCGGGGAGGGGAAGCCAGGGGCUCCUGCGGUUCUGGGCGCUGUGUUCCAACCUGUUCAGCACUCAUUUAGGUCAGGAAGACAAUUCAACAGCUGAUGCCCUCCUCAGAAACCGCUAAACAAAAAUGUAACAAGAACGAUGCCAGGAUAAUAGAUGAAUAAAACGUGCUGUAUACAUCCGAGGGAAUGGUUUUCAGCCUUCAAGAGGAAGGAAAUUCUCACACAUGCUACAUGGAUGCACCUUGAGGACAUUCUGCUGAGGGCAUAAGCCAGUGAGAGAUGGAUGAAAAGGUCCUUAUCUGAGGUCCCCCAUCGUCAAAUCCACAGAGACAGAAGGUGGGACACUGGCUUCCAGGGCUGGAGGGGGAGGGGUUAUCUGAGGUCCCCCCAUUGUCAAACGCACAGAGACAGAAGGUGGGACAGUGGCUGCUGGACUGGAGGGGGAGGGGUUAUCUGAGGUCCCCCCAUCCUCAAACACACAGAGACAGAAGGUGGGACACUGGCUCCCAGGGCUGGAUGGGGAGGGGUUAUCUGAGGUCCCCCCAUCGUCAAACGCACAGAGACAGAAGGUGGGACACUGGCUCCCAGGGCUGGAGGGGGAGGGGUUAGCUGAGGUCCCCCAUCCUCAAACACACAGAGACAGAAGGUGGGACAGUGGCUGCUGGUCUGGAUGGGGAGGGGUUAUCUGAGGUCCCCCCAUCGUCAAACGCACAGAGACAGAAGGUAGGACACUGGCUCCCAGGGCUGGAGGGGGAGGGGUUAUCUGAGGUCCCCCCACUGUCAAACACACAGAGACAGAAGGUGGG
rnacentral:lncRNA from 1 species